AAAAAAAAAAAGAGAAAAGGUCAGGACCAAAUGAAAAGUAAGGGAAAGUUAGGGAAUAAUGGUGCAAUUAUCCCUUUCCAGAUCUACUAGCGUCGGAGACGGGGAUUAGUACUCCGAUCGAUCGAACAAAGGAUUAUUACUCCGAUCGAUCGAUCGAAUAAAAAGAUGGAGAAUAAGAAUAAGGCGAAUAAGGCGAAUAAGGUUGAUGCGGAGGAGGCGAAUAAGAAGCGGAGGAGGCACGGAUCGACCAAGCUAUUCGUGGCGGUGGAUUACUUGUUCCUCCUCGUCUUCUUCUGCUUCCUCGCCUAUUUCCUCCUCAAAAUGUGGCCUAUCCAUGGAUUUUGGGGUUAAAUUUGAUGAUGAUGAUGUUGUUUUUGCUGUUGCUGUUGCUGAUGAUGACGACGAUGAAGAGGAGAAACCCUAGAUUCUGGUAUUUUUCCUGCUUUUUCCCCUCGUUUUUGCCCCGAAUUUGUAACCCUGUUUUGUCGUUGUUGUAGCAUAUUUCUCAACAACGUUCUCCCACGCCAUGAAUUGAGAAAAAUUUCUUUCUUUUUUUUUUUGUUUUUGUUUUUGUGUGUGUUCUUCGUCUUUUAUGAUCUGCGGAUGUGUUGAUCCGAUUUAAUUAUCGUCUGAAUGAUGAUGCGGCAUUUGAUGCUUCUAUAGUCGUACUAAGAAUUUAAUUGUUCUUAUUAAUUGCUCCUUUUUUAUUAAAAAUUUUAAUCCAUCACACAAAUAUGUUACGCAUACUUUGGUAACACCGCGGCGGCUAAAAGCAUCGCUUUUAUAUAUUAAAAUAUUAUAAAAUUUUAUUAUUGAAAUUGAUUAUAAAUUUUUUAAAAAACUUUUUUAAAAAUAAAGAAUAAUAUUUUUAGUUACUACGAUAUUAAACCUAUAAUCUCACAAAACUG
rnacentral:lncRNA from 1 species